rnacentral:tRNA from 1 species
UGUGGCUUAAUGGUAGAGUGCUUGCCUAGCAUGCAUGAAGCCCUGAGUUCAAUUCCUCAGUA